GAACGCUAGCUACAGGCUUAACACAUGCAAGUCGAGGGGCAGCGGGAUUGAAGCUUGCUUCAAUUGCCGGCGACCGGCGCACGGGUGAGUAACGCGUAUCCAACCUUCCGUACACUCAGGGAUAGCCUUUCGAAAGAAAGAUUAAUACCUGAUGGUAUGAUGAGGUUGCAUGAUAGCAUCAUUAAAGAUUUAUCGGUGUACGAUGGGGAUGCGUUCCAUUAGGUUGUUGGCGGGGUAACGGCCCACCAAGCCUUCGAUGGAUAGGGGUUCUGAGAGGAAGGUCCCCCACAUUGGAACUGAGACACGGUCCAAACUCCUACGGGAGGCAGCAGUGAGGAAUAUUGGUCAAUGGACGAGAGUCUGAACCAGCCAAGUAGCGUGCAGGAUGACGGCCCUAUGGGUUGUAAACUGCUUUUAUAAGGGAAUAAAGUGGGAGUCGUGACUCUUUUUGCAUGUACCUUAUGAAUAAGGAUCGGCUAACUCCGUG
rnacentral:rRNA from 1 species